AAAAGUUAGUUUAGAAAAAACAUUAAUUUGUCAAAUUAAAAAGAUUGUAAUCAAUACUUUUUA
rnacentral:tRNA from 1 species